AUGCCAUAGUAGUAGCGUUGGAUUAACGUGGGGUAUAAACCCAACGCUACUGCUAAGUUAUCUCCUUGCUGCCCCACCUCAGCCUCUCACCCCUGCUCUGCCUUUCUCUCCCCCGACACCUCUCCUCGUCCUCCACUCCCCAUGUUUCCCCCAACCAACCCCGCCGCCACCGCCGACGUCGACGACCUCCUCUCCCCCAACCCCACCGCCGGCACCCCCACCUCACGCGCGGAUCCUCCUCCUCGCCGUGCCCUUGUGCCGGCCCCAAACCCUAGCUAGGGGCCCCCUUCUCCGGGCACGGCGCGGCGCGGGGAGGGCUCCCUCUUGCCCGCCGCCGAUGCAGACGGCCCGCCGGAGGCCCGCUCGACUGGCCCUUCCAGUACGAGGAGGCGCACCCGCUGCUCGCCUGGAUCUGCUCAUGCCUCCGCCCCUCCAACAUCCUCUCCCCGUCCCACCUCUCGCAGUAUGAGCAACUCGUGGAAGAGGGGAGACUGCUAGAGGUUAACCAAUUAACUGAACCACAAGGAUAGAGAUAUACACUCUAUUCAACAAUUUUCUCGAGAAGUUUGAUUUGUAUUUGAUAUUUCAUGGACUUAAAUAAUCUCUAUCUGUAAACACAUUGGUUUCUUUCAUCCAGUGAACCCAGGUAAUAAGUGAAGAUGAAUAUUACAUGUGUAUAUUACUUUUUCCUCUGUCGUUAGAUUAUGUUCAGAAUAUUUCUGAUAUUUUUUUGGAAUGCUAGGACCAUCACAUAUAAAAAAGAACUUUAAAUCACAAAAAAUGUUGAUUUCUUUUAUUAAAGAUCUCGAGGGUGAGACAAUUUUCAGCAGUUUCAGAGGAAUAGCUUAAGUACCAUAUAGAGGAUGACACAAAUGGUAAUGAACACAUCAUGGAUCUUGCAUUAAUUUUCUUAUUCUAGCAGUACAAUUUGUGCAGGGAAGUCAUUCAUUUGUCAUGCCAUGGAAGUAUCGUUUGAAGUUUCCUUGGUGUCAAGACUUUUUUUUCAACAUCUAUGAGGUGGCAAGCAAAGUUAUGGUAACUGCAGUUCAUAUCAGGUAUAAUGUGAAACGUAGGUCCAUCAUCUCAUCAUCCUUUACGCCCUUUCUUUCCUUAAUAUUUUACAGCAAACCAACGGAUUAGCUAACCACAAGCUUAGUAUGUGGUAUACUGCAUAAAUAUCUAGCUUGGUAGAAAGCAUGGUCAGUAGAGUGUUUUCUAACCAUGCACUAGUAGUGCCCACUCCAUGCUACUGUUAUGUACACAGACGAGAAGUUUGUUUGAGAAAGAGUAUGCUUGCUUCCUUUCAUCUAAUAUCAUAUGUUUCUGUUUCCUAUGUGAAACUGAUGGUUCAUGUCUCUAACUUCUACUGCUUUACAGUUUUGCACAAAAGCUUUUGUAACCAUGAUGCUGAUAUACCUAUGAUUGUUACUUCAUGUGCUACUAUAUAUGUAGGGAGAUUUUUAUAAAGGGCAAUGGAUAAAAUCUACUCUGGAUAGUUGACAGAGGGAGUACAUGCUAAGUUGAAUUUUUUCCUGCGGAUUUGCUUAUUGUGAAGAUGCUUGCAAGGAUGCAGAGGGAGCGGAUCAUUUGGAGAGAUAGGAUGCCACUGUUUGGUGUUUUUAUGCAUUUUGGUUUGCUUGUAACUCUGUUUGCACUAGCUGGGAGUAAGUGACUUCAAGAAGUGUAGGUGUUUUAAUUGAAGGCAUGAAAAGACAUGACAAUAUGUAUGAUCUUACAUGAUGUGCUCUAAUGCCACUGGUUUAUUAUAAAUCUUGGAUUAGUAAUGAUGUGUAAU